AAACUAAACUACUCUUUG
rnacentral:tRNA from 1 species